UACGUAGGGUGCGAGCGUUAAUCGGAAUUACUGGGCGUAAAGGGUUCGUAGGUGGCCAACUAAGUCAGACGUGAAAUCCCUCAGCUUAACUGGGGAACUGCGUCUGAGACUGGAUGGCUUGAGUGCAGGAGAGGAACGCGGAAUUCCAGGUGUAGCGGUGAAAUGCGUAGAUAUCUGGAGGAACACCGGUGGCGAAGGCGGCGUUCUGGACUGCUACUGACACUGAGGAACGAAAGCCAGGGGAGCAAACGGG
rnacentral:rRNA from 1 species